UGGAUAUUGAAUUUUGCAUUUUACAGCCCAAAUUACUCUCACCACAAGGUGGCAACAACCUAACUGAAAUAAAGUUGAGCUGAGCUAAAGACCAGUACAAAAAAGCAAGUAAAACAAUCUAGCCUUGAUUUUUUCUUUCCUUCUCAUUAUAUUAAGGGGAAAAGUCACGCAUAAAUCUAUAUUUAUAACUGUAAUAUUUGCAUCAAAUAAUACCUCAUAAGUAAUGGAUGGGAUCUGAGCUCUAAUCAGAGUUGUGUACCUAAAAUAGCUAAUUCUGAUACAAUUUUUUAAUCUUUUUUAGAUGUGCUAUGGAUUACCUUUUAACUCGCUGUAAAUAUUAAUGCCAAGUCUAGCACCCUGUUCCAUAUAGAUCUCACCCCACCUGUGUAUCUUGCCUACUUUAGACCAAGAAGAGGAAGAGAAAGAAGAGGAGGAGGAGAAAAAGAAGAAGAAGAAACAGUAGCAGCCUAGGCACAGUGGUUCAUGCCUACCUAAUCUCAGGGCUCUGGAAGGCCAAGGUGGGAGGAUCGCUUGAGCCCUGGAGUUUAAGACCAGCCUGGGCAACAUGAGUGAACAUUUAUAUGAAAUGUAUAAGGAAGAUACUGUACCCAAGUUAUUUCUUAUUCUGGUGCUGUGAUCCCAG